AAAACUUUCAACAACGGAUCUCUUGGCUCUGGCAUCGAUGAAGAACGCAGCGAAAUGCGAUAAGUAAUGUGAAUUGCAGAAUCCAGUGAAUCAUCGAAUCUUUGAACGCACAUUGCGCCCGCCAGCAUUCUGGCGGGCAUGCCUGUUCGAGCGUCAUUU
rnacentral:rRNA from 2 species